GAUGAAGAACGCAGCAAAAUGCGAUAAGUAAUGUGAAUUGCAGAAUUCAGUGAAUCAUCGAAUCUUUGAACGCACAUUGCGCCCGCUGGUAUUCCGGCGGGCAUGCCUGUUCGAGCGUCAUUUCAACCCUCAAACCCCCGGGUUUGGUGUUGGGGAUCGGCUCUGCCUCACGGCGGUGCCGCCCCCGAAAUACAUUGGCGGUCUCGCUGCAGCCUCCAUUGCGUAGUAGCUAACACCUCGCAACUGGAACGCGGCGCGGCCAUGCCGUAAAACCCCAACUUCUGAAUGUUGACCUCGGAUCAGGUAGGAAUUCCCGCUGAACUUAAGCAUAUCAAUAAGCGGAGGA
rnacentral:misc_RNA from 1 species